rnacentral:tRNA from 1 species
GGGGAUUUAGCUCAUUGGCAUAAGCGCCUGCCUUGCAAGCAUGUGGUGGUUCAGUUCAAUCCCCA